rnacentral:sRNA from 1 species
AGGGUUUUACCUUGGGCUUUUUGUUCUACUUGAAGUUCUUUGAUUUGCUCGCCUUGGGCUUUUUGCUCAACCUUAAUUUCUUUUAUUUCUUCGCUCUGAGCUUUGAUUUGUUCUCCUUGAGCCCUAAUCUGCUCGCCUUGCACUUUGACAGUUUCAGUUAAUUGUUCAAUUUGUUUUCCUUGAGCUUUGAUCUGCUCACCUUGAACCUUUAUUUGUUCGCCUUGCGUUUUUUGCAGUUCAAAUAAAACAUCAACUUUGUCUUCGACGCGUUUGAAAUCAGCUUUGGUGGCAAAGUCUUUAAGCUUUUCAUCAAGCUCACGGUGGGUUACGUAUUUAUCUGGUUUGGACACUUUCUGCUUUCCUUCACUGGGAUCAUCCGGACCACCUGGAUCUUUCUGACCACCUUGUUCUUUAGGGCCUUCAGAAACAUCUGGCGUAUCAGGAUCUUUAGGA